rnacentral:rRNA from 1 species
GACGAACGCUGGCGGCGUGCUUAACACAUGCAAGUCGAGCGGAGCGGCGAACGGGUGAGUAACGCGUGAGUAACUGCCCCCCUCUCUGGGAUAACAGUUGGCAACGGCUGCUAAUACCGGAUAGUGGGGGAUGAAGCGCGGCCUAUCAGCUUGUUGGUGGGGUAGUGGCCUACCAAGGCAACGACGGGUUGCCGGCCUGGGAGGGCGCCCGGGCACAAUAGUCUGAGAGACGGACCAAGCGCCUACGGGGGGCAGUAGUGGGGAAUAUUGCACAAUGGGGGAGACCCUGAUGCAGCAACGCGCGUGCGGGAUGUCGGCCUUCGGGUUGUAAACCGCUUUCGGCCAUGACGCGGUAGUGGCAGAAGAAGCACCGGCUAACUACGUGCCAGCAGCCGCGGUAAUAC